CUGAGCUGUCAGCCUCGGCCAGCGACCUGGGAGCCCGACGGAGGCGGAGGACCCCCUGGCCGGGCCCGGGUCGUAUCGGCGUCCUCCCCCCGGCCCCGCGAGCCAGCAUGGGGCAGGAAGAGGAGCUGCUGAGAAUCGCCAAGAAGCUGGAUAAAAUGGUGUCCAGGAAGAGCACGGAAGGAGCCCUGGAUCUCCUGAAGAAACUGAAUGGCUACAAGAUGUCAAUCCAGUUACUGCAGACCACCAGGAUUGGGAUUGCUGUCAAUGGGGUCCGUAAGCACUGCCUGGACAAGGAGGUGGUGGCCUUGGCCAAAAUUCUCAUCAAGAACUGGAAACGGCUCCUGGAUACCCCUGAGACCCCCAAAAAGGAAAAAUCGAUGGAAAAAGAAAAAGAGAAGAAGAAAGAGCAAGACGCUGACCUUUCUGACUGGAAACCACUGGGGGCUUUUUCCCCACAGAGCAAAAGCCAGAGGGAAGAACCCAAGGAUAGGAGAGACUCUUCCGAGUCCGGAUCUUCCUCCACCGUCUCCUCCCCAUCUUUCUCUUCCUCCUCCUCAUCUCCUCAGAAGAGGCUGGUGGAAAGAUCCAACAGCAGCAAAGGGAAAGUGGAGACCCCAAAGACACCCACCAGCCCCUCUUCCCCUACAUUUUCUCCAUCGAUCUGCUUCUUAGCCCCCUGCUACCUCACAGGAGACUCAGUCCGGGACAAGUGCGUGGAGAUGCUGUCAGCAGCCCUGAAGAUGGAUGAUGAUUACAAAGAAUAUGGAGUCAACUGUGAUAAGAUGGCAUCAGAAAUUGAAGAUCAUAUAUAUCAAGAACUGAAGGGCACAGACAUGAAAUAUCGGAAUAGGGUACGCAGCCGAAUCAGUAACCUCAAGGACCCCCGGAACCCCAACUUGAGGCGGAACGUGCUUUGCGGGGCUAUUUCCACCAGCCUCAUUGCCAGGAUGACGGCUGAGGAAAUGGCCAGUGAUGAACUGAAGGAGCUGAGGAACGCCAUGACUCUGGAGGCCAUCCGGGAGCACCAGAUGGCCAAGACCGGGGGCACAACAACCGACCUCUUCCAGUGCAAUAAGUGUAAAAAAAAGAAUUGUACCUACAACCAGACCAGGAAACUGAGCUUCAUAGAGGUUAAGUGAUUUGCCUAAGGCCACACAGUAAGUAAGUUGCAGAGCCAAGACUCGAACCCAGAUCUUCAAGUCCAGUGAAGGAUGUAAAACCCAGAAUUGGUGGAAAGGAAGGGAGAGAGCGUUCCAGGUGCAGACACGAAGUGCCGAUGAGCCCAUGACCACUUUCGUCUUAUGCAACGAGUGUGGCAACCGCUGGAAGUUCUGCUGAGUGGUCCCAGCCGGGCCUGUGGUGGUUGCAUCAAGCACACACGAAGAAGAAACCACUUGGCCCACAUGCCUGGAGCACAGAGAGAAAUGCUCAGAUAGGAAGGGGAGUUCUGGGUGGUGCCAGCUAAAUGUAGGACUCUCCCCAGAAUACGUAGCUAGCUUUGCCCUCUGACUUCAGAGCUUUCCCUAGUGGGUGAGAGAGGGUAUUUUUACUGGGAAAGUCCACACCAGAUGAGCUCUGACCUGUACCUCCCCAAAUCCUGCAGUAAAGCAGAAAUCUAAACCUACUUAAGGAUUCACAUAGAAUGCCAGAACUACCAGAGAAAUUAGAAUCUAGCCUCAGAAAUGAGAGGUGGUUUAGGACACAGACUCUCCAUGCUGGGAGGGGCCUCAGCUGAAAGGGAUUUUUUGAGACCUUUCGGUCCACCCUCCUCAUUUUAUAGGUGGGAGAACCGAGGCCCAGAGAGGAGCAAUCACUUGCCCUAGGUGGCAGAGACAGCAAGCGUCAGAAAUAGAACAAGCUGCCCACAUCAGGCCUCUUCCCCCUGCCCCAUCCUGCUUCUGGGGACUGAUUGUGCCAAGACAAGGACAUUGAGUCCUUCCCCAGUGAUUAGCCCUUCCCUAGUUUUUCUCCAUGAAAAAUACCAGGCUGACAAAAGUGAUGCCCCUGUCUGUCCUAUCACUUCCUUCACCUAGCAACCAGUGUGUCAUUUGGUCUAAUAAUAGGUUUGAUACUGUAUAGAAAGAACACAAUCUUUGCAUUUAGGUGCUGAGUAAUUUUCAAUCAUGUCUGAUUCUUCAUGACCCCAUUUGGGGUUUUCUUGGCAGGGAUGCUGGAGUGGUUUGCCAUUUCCUUCUCCAGCUCAUGUGACAGAUGAGGAAACUGAGGCAAACAGGGUGAAGUGACUUGCCCAGGGUCACACAGCUAGGAAGUAUCUGAGGCUGGAUUUGAACUCAGGUCUUCCUGACUCCAGACCCAGUGCUCUAUCUACUGCACCAUCUCAAAUCCCAUCUCUGCUGCUGGGUGAGCUUGGGUUGAGUCCAUUUGCCUCUGUGGGCCUCAGUAUGAACUGUAAAAUGGAAGGACUGAAUUAAUUAGCUUCUGAUAUUCCUUCCAGAUCAAGAUCCAUGAUGCCAUGAGGCAUUUAUAUAUCACAUUGGCGCUACAAAAUCCUCUCUCUUGUGGCUUCCUCUCGGACCCCCCGUAGCAGUCCUGUGAGCUGGGUAGUGUGAGUACUAUGGCCAUUUUACAGAUGAGAAAGCUGGACUCACAGAUCCUAGAGGCAAAGUCAGGAUGUGUCCUCACAUCCUCCUGACUCUUAGACUCAUUGCAAUCUGAUAUACUUUACCGAUCUAGACCUGUGUGACAACAGGGUACCCUUCUCCCUAAAUUACAAAAGGUCUUCCCUGUCCUCGUCCUCACGCCCUCCCAAACUAUCAGUAACUCCUUGUUCUCAUUGGGUUUGGGGUGGGGGACCCUUGGUACACCCACAGAUUGAGUCCUGGAAUCAGGAAACCGUGCCUCCUGACUUCAUGUUGCCACACUGCCCCCGGGCCACAGGCUGAGAUGGGACUCUCCAUAGCCAGCUCCCACCAAACAGAAGACAGGGCACCUGCAGGCCGGAGCUUCCUUAGGAUGCUCUGUGCAAAGCAAAAGUGCCCUUCUAGGCUUUCCUCUUUGACUGCACUUCCUAAUUGAUUCAAUGAUUUAGUCACAGGUGACUUUCCCUGGCCCCCAGGUCAGGAAAGGAGGCUGCCCCAGGAAGAAGACUUCUGGGAACCCCUGCUUUUCUUCCCCUCCCCCUUCUUCUGGCUGCCCCCCAACCUGGGAGAGUUGCCUCUCCUUCCCUGAAGAUUUCCAUCCCCCGCCCCCAACAGCACCCUGCACAGCUGAAGAGCAGAAGCAUUGGCCAGUCCUCUGCCCCUCCUAGGGGUCAGCUGGAUGAGCUUGUUUCACAGCUGUACUUAGGGAUCAGUCAGAGUAACUUACUCAAGGCCAAACAGCUAAUGAGUUAUAUGGAAUGCGGUCACAGCGACCUCUGACAUUUUUCCCCCUGAAAUGCACUAGGUACCACCCUCCCCUGAAAUGGAGACCCCAAACAGCUUCUCCUAUAGGCUAACUCUGUAAAUAAACUCUGUACAGAAA